rnacentral:rRNA from 1 species
AUUGCCUUAGUAGCGGCGAGCGAAGUGGCAAAAGCCCAAACUGUUAAUCUGUGCUUUGCACCGAAUUGUAAUCUAAAGGAAGUGCGCUAAAGCUCUAGUCGGCGUAUAAGUUCCCCGGACUGGGACGCCAUAGAGGGUGAAAGCCCCGUACUGCGCUGGCUAGUGUUAAGUGCCUUUCAAAGAGUCGGGUUGUUUUGUAAUGCAGCCCUAAGUGGGAGAUAAACUUCUUCUAAGGCUAAAUACGAAUGGGAGACCGAUAGCGAACAAGUACUGUGAAGGAAAGAUGAAAAGAACUUUGGAAAGAGAGUUAACAGACCUGAAACCGUUGAGGAGGAAGCGGUGAAAAUUAAUCAUCGGCGUUGAUCCUGCGGGGGUGAUCUAACUCUCUGCCGUGUUCGGUACUGUCAAAAGACUGAUGCGGUAGAAGGGGGAAAUUACUGAGCUGGAUUGGCGUCGUAAGGCAAGAUGAGUCUAUCGAAGAGGAUGAGCUACUGUGAGAUCGGGGCUUCGGCUUCACUCUAGGUGUGCUUGCUUUUCGAAAGGCUGAGGGGCUUCGUGCGAUCUUGUCAAAAUGGUUUUUACCGUCCCGUCUUGAAACACGGACCAAGGAGUCUAACAUAUAUGCGAGUGUGCUGGCGGAGAAACCAACACGCGUAAUGAAAGUGACAGAUGCCAAGCUGUAGAGCAGCAGCAUCGGCCGACCUUUUUCCUCUGGUUUAGGUUUGCGUAAGAGCAUAUCUGUUAGGACCCGAAAGAUGGUGAACUAUGCCUGAGUAGGGUGAAGCCAGGGGAAACUCUGGUGGAGGCUCGUAGCGACACUGACGUGCAAAUCGUUCGUCAAACUUGGGUAUAGGGGCGAAAGACUAAUCGAACCAUCUAGUAGCUGGGUUCCCUCCGAAAUUUCCCUCAGGAUAGCUGGGACAACCACGCAGUUUUAUUAGGUAAAGCGAAUGAUUAGAGGCCUCAGGGAUGAAACGUCCUUGACCUAUUCUCAAACUUUAAAUUGGUAAGAACUCUGGGUUUCUUAAUUGAACUCAGAGGAAGAAUGCGUGUCCUUAGUGGGCCAUUUUUGGUAAGCAGAACUGGCGAUGAGGGAUGCUCCUAACGUCAGGUUAAGGUGCCUAACUACACGCUCAUCAGAUACCAGAAAAGGUGUUGAUUCAUUUAGACAGCAGGACGGUGGCCAUGGAAGUUGGAAACCGCUAAGGAGUGUGUAACAACUCACCUGCCGAAUGGAUUAGCCCUGAAAAUGGAUGGCGCUAAAGCGUGUGACCGAUACCUGACCAUUGAGGCGAGAGUUAGGCCUCAAUGAGUAGGAGGGCGUGGGCAUCGUAAAGAAGCCUUUGGCGUGAGCCUGGGUAGAACGGUGUCUAGUGCAGAUCUUGGUGGUAGUAGCAAUUAUUCAAAUGAGAACUUUGAAGGCCGAAGUGGAGAAGGUUUCCAUGAGAACAGCAAUUGGUCAUGGGUGACUCGAUCCUAAGUCAUUGGGGAAGUCUUUGUCAAGUGGGUGCAAACCCGCAGUCGAAAGGGAAUGAGGUUAAUAUUCCUCAAGCUGCCUACGGAUAUUGUACGGUAACGUUUGUGAGCUCAGUGACGCCGGCGCGUGCCUCUGGAAGAGUUCUCUUUUCUUUUUAACAGACAAACGACCCUGAAUCGGAUUAUCCGGAGCUAGGGUUGUAUGUUUGGAAAAGCAUCUUGCUUUCUGAGAUGUCAGGUGCGCUCGCGACGGUCCUUGAAAAACUGAGUAAGAGACUUAUUCCGUAGCAGAUCGUACCGACAACCGCAUCAGGCUUCCAAGGUUA